rnacentral:rRNA from 1 species
UACAGAGGUGGCAAGCGUUGUUCGGAUUUACUGGGCGUAAAGGGCGCGUAGGCGGUCGUGACAAGUCACUUGUGAAAUCUCCGGGCUUAACUCGGAACGGUCAAGUGAUACUGUCGGACUAGAGUACAGAAGGGGCAACUGGAAUUCUCGGUGUAGCGGUGAAAUGCGUAGAUAUCGAGAGGAACACCUGCGGCGAAGGCGGGUUGCUGGGCUGAUACUGACGCUGAGGCGCGAAAGCGUGGGGAGCGAACAGG